rnacentral:ncRNA from 1 species
CUUAUCCAGAGAGGUGGAGGGACGGGCCCGAUGAAACCCGGCAACCGGCAGUCGCGAUUCGCGGCGCAAGGUGCCAAUUCCCGCGGCGUUUGAAGCGUCGGAAGAUGAGG